rnacentral:rRNA from 1 species
GACUCCCGUCGCACAAGGUAGCCUUGGUGAGGUAACGGCUCACCAAGGCAACGAUGCGUAGCCGACCUGAGAGGGUGAUCGGCCACACUGGGACUGAGACACGGCCCAGACUCCUACGGGAGGCAGCAGUAGGGAAUCUUCCGCAAUGGACGAAAGUCUGACGGAGCAACGCCGCGUGAGUGAUGAAGGCUUUCGGGUCGUAAAACUCUGUUGUUAGGGAAGAACAAGUGCUAGUUGAAUAAGCUGGCACCUUGACGGUACCUAACCAGAAAGCCACGGCUAACUACGUGCCAGCAGCCGCGGUAAUACGUAGGUGGCAAGCGUUAUCCGGAAUUAUUGGGCGUAAAGCGCGCGCAGGUGGUUUCUUAAGUCUGAUGUGAAAGCCCACGGCUCAACCGUGGAGGGUCAUUGGAAACUGGGAGACUUGAGUGCAGAAGAGGAAAGUGGAAUUCCAUGUGUAGCGGUGAAAUGCGUAGAGAUAUGGAGGAACACCAGUGGCGAAGGCGACUUUCUGGUCUGUAACUGACACUGAGGCGCGAAAGCGUGGGGAGCAAACAGGAGUAGAUACCCUGGUAGUCCACGCCGUAGACGAUGAGUGCUAAGUGUGAGAGGGUUUCCUCCCCUUUAGUGCUGAAGUUAACGCAUUAAUCACUCCCCCUGGCGAGUACAGCCGCGUCGCUGACACUCAAAUGAAAUGAACGGGGGGGCGGCCC